GACGAACCGAGCGAACGUUGUUCGGAAUCACUGGGCUUAAAGGGCGCGUAGGCGGGCAAGCAAGUCGAAGGUGAAAUCCCACGGCUCAACCGUGGAAGUGCCCCCGAUACUGCUUGUCUUGAGGGAGAUAGGGGCGUGCGGAACUUCCGGUGGAGCGGUGAAAUGCGUAGAUAUCGGAAGGAACACCGGUGGCGAAAGCGGCGCGCUGGAUCUCUUCUGACGCUGAGGCGCGAAAGCCAGGGGAGCAAACGGG
rnacentral:rRNA from 1 species